AGCAGCUCAUUGGGUGUAAAGCGUGCGCAGGCGGUUUUGUAAGACAGAGGUGAAAUCCCCGGGCUCAGCCUGGGAACUGCCUUUGUGACUGCAAGGCUGGAGUGCGGCAGAGGGGGAUGGAAUUCCGCGUGUAGCAGUGAAAUGCGUAGAUAUGCGGAGGAACACCGAUGGCGAAGGCAAUCCCCUGGGCCUGCACUGACGCUCAUGCACGAAAGCGUGGGGAGCAAACA
rnacentral:rRNA from 1 species